AUCUUUCAAUUACCCAUGAUAUAAUCACUUUCCCAAUUAAAAUCAUUCAAGAACCCUAUUUCAAUACCAGACUCUUCUCCUUCCUCUGCUGAUUGAAAAAAAAAUUCCCUUUCAAUUCCUUAAUCCCCCAUCUAUAAAAUGACGACCUUGCAUCUCCAAAUUCUCACACCUCAACCAAAAAUUUCUUCAAUUCUCAUAAUCUUCCAAUUUCAAUGGCUUCACCAAACUCAUCCAUGCUCAACCUCCAAAGAAAUUCAACACCAAGAAGGCCAAGUCCUACCCAAUUUUCAAGCUAUGAUGAAAAACCCUUAUGGAACCAUGUCACGGUCAUCGGGAACCCGACUAGUGGUGGUAACAGAAAAUGGACCUGCAACUAUUGUCACAAAUUAGUGACAGAUUCAUACACAAAAGUGAAAAGCCAUCUUUUGGGUUUAUCAGGGAACGGUGUUGAAGGAUGCAAGACAAUCUCGGAUCAAGUUAAAGCUCAACUACAAAGGGAGCAUGACAAAGCUGAGAAUUUGAAUGCUAGGAAAGCCAUGGACACGUACAAAGAGGAAGCUCAAAUAUGCAACACUGCCUCCUGGUUCAGAUUUAAAACAACAAAAAAAGAGCAAAAAUACAUUGGAGGUGAGUUUUAAUGAUGCUGGCAGAGAUGAGUUAGAUAAAGAAUGUGCUCGUAUGUUUUAUGCCUCUGCCCUUCCAUUUUCACUUGUUAAAAAUCCGUACUUUUGUCAAUUUGUAAGCAAAUUGGCAAACAGUAAGUGUGUUUGGGUAUGUUCCUCCUACAUACAACAGGAUGAGGCUUUCUUUACUUGAGCAAGAGAAAGCACAUGUGGAUGCCCUUCUUCAGCCUUUUCGGGAUUCUUGGAAGAAAAAGGGAGUAUCUUUGUGUUCGACUGUUCGGAUGGAUGGACCGAUAGGCAGAAGAGACCUCUCAUCAAUGUCAUUGCUGCAUCAAGAUAUGGCUCUAUGUUUCUUAAAUGUUUCGAUGCAAGUAGGAAUACGAAGGACGCGGAGUAUGUAGCUAGUCUAUUUCAAGAGGUCCUUGAUAAGGAAGGGGCUCACAACGUUGUUCAGAUUAUCACUGACAAUGCUGGAAAUUUUAAGGCAGCAGGUUUGGCACUUGAAACGAAAUACCCUCAUAUUUUUUGGACACCCUAUGUCGUGCACACUGUGAAUUUGGCCCUCAAGGCAAUAUGUGAACCACCUGUGAACUCAAUCCAAUAUGACUAAUGUAAGUGGAUUUCCUCAAUAAUGUCUGCCUGCAAUGCAAUUGUCAAUUUUGUUUUAAACCAUGGGAAAGCACUUGAUAUUUUCCGUAGUUAUUCUAAACAUAUGCUGGUUAAAGUAGCUGAAACCCGAUUUGCUUCACACUUUAUCAUGGCUGAGCGUCUAUUUUUAACUAAAAGUGCUUUAGAGAAAAUGGUCUUAAAUCCUGAUUGGAAAACGUUUAGGAAAACGGCAGUAGAGGAGAAAGCUGAAAAUGUUAAAGAAUUUGUUAUUUCCGACAGAUGGUGGGACAAGUUUGAGUAUUUCUUAAGUUUUACAACCCCAAUUAACAGUAUGAUUAGGAAAGGUGAUUUGGAUGCCCCAUGUUUGCAUUUAAUAUAUGACAUGUGGGAUUGUAUGAUCGAACAAGUGAGGGAGAGAGUGUUUGAACAUGAGGGUUUAGACGCCAUUACUGGGCAAUUUUCAUUUUUUGAUGUGAUCCAAGGGGUUUUAGAAUCUAGGUGGAACAAGAGCAACACUCCACUUCACUUUAUGGCUCAUUCCUUAGUCCCUAAAUAUUAUAGUGAGUCGUGGCUGGAAGGUGGUUCAGGAAUUGUUCCAAGGGUGGCACCCAAUGUAGACCAAGAAGUAUCUUUAAAUAGAGACAAGUGCUUUAAGAAAAUGUACACAAACCCGGACGACCUUAAGAAAAUCUAUGCUGAGUACGGUCAGUUUUCGGGGAUCUUGGGUUUUUUAGUGAAGCCCACGUGAUGGAAGCAAGGGAUACUGAAGACCCCUUGAGUUGGUGGGCCAGUUAUGGUUCAUCAACACCCUUACUGCAAGCUUUAGCAUUCAAAUUGAUGUCCCAACCUGCUUCUUCUUCUUGCUGUGAAAGAAAUUGGAGUUCUCUCUCCAAUAUCCAAAGCAUAAAGAGGAAUAGAUUGUUUUCCAGUAGAGCUGAAGCGCUUGUGUACAUCCAUACCAAUCUGAGAAUGAUUUUUAAGAAGAAAGAGGAGUACAAAACCGGGCCAUCGAGCUACUGGGAUGUGGGUGGAGAUGAUCUUCUGGUUGAUAAUGAGUAUAAUGAAGCAUUUGAGAAUCUAUUUCUUGAUGACCCUGAUAUUGAAGCCACCUUUUUCAAUGACGAAGAAGAGGUUUGAUCGUUGGAGGCUUGGUUCUGAGGUUGAAGUUGAGAUGCUGACUUGCUGAGCAGUGAAGGAAGUUGGAGCAGGGAAGCUGCUUAUGCUAUUUUCUGAAUUUUAACUCUUUAUUUUAUGUUUUAUUUUUCUGUUGGAUUGAAUAUUUGGGAUAUUGAAGUGUUUUACUAUAGAUAUGGUAUUUGGAGGUUUUUUUUAUAAAAGUUUGAAGACAUGUUAUGGAAUCCACUAUUUUGAUUAAUAUGAUUGGAUUAUUUUGUGACUUUUCAAUUUAAAAUAUACUUAGUAUAUUUCAGUCUGAUGUACUUAAAUUAAAAUAAUGUCCCGUGUCCCCGAGUCCAUAUCCAUAUUUUGGACCCUUCAAAAACGAGUCCACGAGUCCUUCAUUUUAGAAAUGUAAGGAUCCAACCCUUGGACCCGUACCCGAGUCGGACACUCGUACCGGAGUCCGAGCAUCCUAGACGGCCAGUUCCUCUGAUCGCACAAAGGUGGAUGAAGCUUUGUUGGUGGGUCAGGCAGCGCAAGAGGAAGCGUCGGCCAAGGCCAAGGCACUGGCCAAGCCGGGUGGCAAGGAGGAGGCUCACCUUCUCUCGUCCGACAUUUAUCCAGACCAAGGACGGAUGAAAUGGCUGGACAAGCACGGGGCCGAGCUUAGAGUAGGCAUGUGCGUUGGCCCAGGAUAUAAAAUGAGAGUGCCGGCCGACAUGGACUCCACCGUGAGCCUCCUAGCUGAUGGGGAGUUUCCAGUAUAUGCCGUCGCUAUUAAACUAGGCAUGCGUUUUCCACCGCACCCCUUUGUGGUGGAGGUGCUUGAUGGUUUUAACAUUGGGGUGGCCCAGCUGACCCCAAAUUCUUGGGUUGAUGUCUUUGGCUACAUUGCCAAGUGUGCGUUGCAAAACGUUCAGCCGUCUUUUAACGCAUUUCUCCAUUUGGUCUCUAUUUCUCGGUCUCCUAAUGCCGACAAAGGUUGGUUCACUCUGAGCAGCCGUGGCACCUAUCAGACGGUGGUAGGCAAACUGUAUAAGUGACAUAUGUGGCGGAAGAGGUGGGUCGUCUUCCACACAGACAGCAAGGAUAUGUACUAUAGGAUGGGCCGCUGGAGCGAAGCGGCCAACUAUAUGGAUAGUGUCACACUCCCUCCUUUGUCGGCCGCAGAGUGGGAUCAGAUUAAUGUCCUUUUCAAGGCGGACACAUGCCAACUUACGGCUGACAAAUCUUUUCAUGUGUCGGCUCAGUGGUUGCCGCACAUAAGCCAACUUCGAGAUGAGGCGUUCUUAGCUGCUACCAGCCUAGGAUAUUCCAUGACUAGAGGUGGUACCUUUAGAUAGUCGGCCAAGAAAUUUAACUCUUUGUCUCUUUUCGGUAAUUUUUACUCUCUUGGUCUUGACUAUUAUUCAUGUUUUCCUAUGCAAAAGAAGGGAUGAGCCAGCUGAAGGAUGUCGACGUUGGAAAGGGAGACAUGACGGACUGGAUGGCCGACAUUUACGAGGCCAAGAUGAAAAAGGCUACUGCCGAGCUGGAGGAGAAGGUUAGUCACUACUUAGAUACAUGCUUGAUUGAAUAUGCCCCAUUAUUACAUGGGCGGGCGGUUCUUUUUUAUGACGAGCCAUUGCUUAGAGUGACUUGUGAUCAUUAAAGUCCGCCUCGUCAUUUAUUUCGGACGAGCGACCCUUUUUGAUGACGGGUCACUACGUAGAGAGUGAUCUGUGAUCACUAAAGUCCGCCUCAUCAUUUAUUUCGGACAAGCGGUUCUUUUUGAUGACGGGUCACUACUUAGAGAGUGAUUUUGUGAUCACUCAAGUCCGCCUCGUCAUUUAUUUCGGACGAGCGGCCCUUUUUGAUGACGGGUCACUACUUAGAGAGUGACUUGUGAUCACUCAAGUCCACUGAUAAGUGAUAACUGAGUUUAUUCUGAAAAUUGACAACAAAAAACUGGAAAUGGGUUUUUAACUCGUUAGUUUUGUGGUUAACUUUUCUUUGUCAGUUUGUAUUGUGAGGGUUGCUUAAAGUUCUUGGCGGAUAGUUUUGUUGAAGGUCACUGCCCUCAUUGCCAUGUUUUUGUAAAGGAGAAUUGCAGUGUGCAUUUGAAUGGUCAUUAAAUCCUAUCUACAAGCUUUGUCAGAGUACGAGCCUGAAGCUCCGUACCACAGAACAUCUGGUGGGAGCUCUGGUGGAAAAAUCCACAGAAUGUUGAGCUACACCAAUUCAUGGGAAAAGACAAUGUUUCUUUUCAUUCACCCUUCAUGUUUGAUCGGCACUAGACAAAAUUGGACCCUUCCCCAUUCAAUACAUGCUACUCAUUUUGUUUUAUUUGGAGCAGGUUACUUGGUGACUAAUACGAUCUUUUAUUACAUCGUUUGCUUGCUAAAGUUAUUGCUACGUACAUUUAAGAAAAAGGAAACGUUUUUUUAAAAAUCUGAGUUGCCAUGUUUUCUGCAGGAAAAUUUUCCAAGAUUCCAAGAGUAAGGGUUUUAGUGUUUUUGGUGAUGAUGCGAAAGAAUCAAAUAUACCUGCAGAAGUUUGGAGAUACUAUUUGAUAAGUAUUAGACCAGAGCCCAGAGGCCAGAGACAUCUGAUUCAAGAAUCAAGAUUUUCUUGGGAGGAUUUACAAGCAAAACUUAACAGCGAGCUUGGUGAUGAUUUGGGAAAUUUCAUGAAUCGUGUGCUCACCUUUAUCGUUAAGCCCUCUGGGUAAGAUAAAAGGAUGGUCUAAAGGCUGCAAUGGCUAUUGCUAAUGAGAGUAAUCGACACUUCCGGUAAUGAAGAUUUUUUGGCAGUCACAAACAUAUAAUGCUUAUACACUAUGCUUAUCCACUAUGCCUUCUAUGUUGAAGAUAAAUCAAGGUGUUCUUUUGUUAUCAAGACUUUAGCUGGAGUUGUUUGCAUUCUUGUAUUGCUGCUUCAACCAUUUAAGCCAUCAUUUACCACAGAGGUAUGUUUGUUGUGGCUAUGGUUUGUGAUCCUGAAUGUUCUCGCUCUCUCCCUGCUGAAUUCAGUACAGUAAUUUCACUGUUACAGUAUUUCACAAAUUGCAGCCACACUGUCCAUUCCAGAUUCGACUAUGCAAUGCAGUUUGUGAAUGCAGUAGUAGUAUGCAAUGCAGUUUGUGAAUGCAGUAGUAGUAUGCAAUGCAGUUUGUGAAUUCAGUAGCAGUAUGCAAUGCAGUUUGUGAAUUCAGUAGCAGUAUGCAAUGCAGUUUGUGAAUGCAGGCUGCAUUGGAGUCUGCUGUUUCAAUAUGCUCACUCCAACUGACAACUGACAACUGGCAACUGUAAUUUACCUUACUGGCGAUGAAUCAGAUUAUGUCAAAGAUUAUGAAUAAAUGGCAUGAAGUCAAUACAAUGAUGUGAAUAAACAGUACUAAAAAUCAGUCACACAAACAUGAAACAUGUGCACGCCUUCAUAUCGCAAACCUUGAUGAUAAAACUCGGUUGGUGAAAAAUGAAAACAAUAAAUGUGAUUAUAAAUGUACAUAUAAAAAAUUAAAUAUACCCUUCUAUAUAUUUCACAAACCAAAAUCACACUCCCUUGAAUAAUCUAGUCAGCUUCAGUGUAAAGGUACAGGGUUCCUUCAGAUGGAAAGUUUCUUGAGUACUGAUUUCGGUAACACCAAAUAGCAUUAUCCAUUUUGCAUCAGUUCAUACGGCUCCUUGCAGCAUCUUUUCAC